UGUAAGCGUGUUGUAUGAGUUGUUGAUGUUGUUGUUUCAAGAAUAUUGUGUGAUUCUUCUAAUAUUAGGAGUCCCAUUUUCUUCAAGCAUAAUGACAACCUUUCCUUCCACUGGCACCUUACUAGAUUAUUAUACUAAAAAUCACAUGCAAAAUCAAAAACUAAGUUAGUAAAAAAAAUCAGCUAGAGUUUUACAUUCCCAAAGGAAAUGUACCACUUUAACUCAUAUAAUUUCCAUCAUAGAUUUAAUAAAGUUGACCACCAUUUCCACACUUUAUGGGUCCUCCCAAUGUAGAUUGAGGAUCUGCACUAUUACCCACGAAUCAUUUUCCACAAUUAUUCGUUGAAUAGAAUUAGCUCUGUAGAACUGUAGGCAUUCCUUGAUAGUUAUAGCUUCUGCUACCAAAAUAGUAGUAUCUUUAAUUUUGGAUCUUUUAGCUACCACUAAAUCACCAUGCUGAUCUCUAAUACAAAAUGCAAUAGAGCUAUGUCCAGGAUUUCUCUUAGAAACACCAUCAGUGUUACCCUUUAGCCAUCUAGUCUCAGGAGGGAACCAUUGCACCAGUUUAAAUGAAGAGUACUUGUUGUAACUUUGAAGCUCAUCCACUAUAUUAGACCAUUUUCUACCUGCUACCUCCCUGAGUUUUAUGAACUUAACAAUAGUAUUAUCAAGUUCCCAAUAAAUCUUUCUUUCAUGAUAAGCAUCUCUAUUUAGAACAAUGUUUCUUCUUUUCCAUAGACCCAAAUAAUAACUAUAGGAACAACAUUUAAAACAGACCGCAAUCUAUAGCUACCUCUUGAGUUCUCCACCUCCUUACACUUUGCUUCACAUUUAUUCUAUGCCCAACUAAACCAGCCGCUUGACAGUAGUGAUUACACACCCUUUCAGUAAAUUUUCCCUUAAUAGAGAGGUGGUUAAUUGUUUUUGUUUCUGGAUUAGUACAACAAACACAAUUUUUUGUAGUCUCAGGUUCCAGCUAUUCAUCAAAGCAACAACUGAAAUCCUACCUUUCCAAAUCCUCCAAGUUAAAAAUGACAAUUUAGAAGGCAAUUCUUUAUGACAGAUUGCCUUUAAAUCUUUAUUUUCAUCAUCUCUCUGCCUUAGAAGUUCCCAAGAACUUUUGGUAGUGAACUUUUAUGUACUAUUCAUGGUCCACCAGGAUUUAUUCACAGUGUCUUCCAAAUAUACAGUCCAUAUUUUCUCUGGCAGGCCUUACUACAUGUCUUGGUACUUUAUCUUGCAUAACCUCAUAGUUCCAGCCCUCUACAUUUAGAAAUUUAGAAAUAUCAGUCAAAGGAUGGCAUGUUUGCACCUCAAAUUGCUGCAUAAAUAAUGGACCAAUAUUUGUCCAAUUGUCAAACCAAGUAGUGGAUGUCCCACCUCUAGGAUCCCACCAUAAACAAUGUUCUAUUUUGUCUCUACAAGUAGUGGAUGUCCCGCCUCUAGGCUCCCACCAUAAACAAUGUUCUUUUUCGUCUCUAUUAUUCACCAUAGCUUUCCAAACUUAAGAUCCACCUCUCCAUUGCACUAAAGUAGGUAACUAUUUUUUGCAAUACUUAUUCCACUAAAAAUUUAUCCACAAGUUUCUCUGAGUCCUAAACCUCUACCAAAGCUUGUCAUGUAUAGCUUGAGCAACAUCUUCCAUUGAUCUAAACCCCAAAUCACCUUCCUAUUUAGGGAGAUAAAGUUUAUUCCAAGCCACCCAGUAUUUGCUUCUUUCUAUUUCUUUGUUCUGCCAAAAUAAUUUUGCAAAGAUUCUCUGCACUUCUUUCAUAACACUCUUUGGAGGGACUGCUACUGACAAUACAUAUAGUGGUACACUCUGUAGCACACUUUUAAUAAGAACUUUGCCUCCAUAAGAUAGUAAUCUGCCCUUCCAAGCUUGAAGUGUACCUCUAAUCUUGUCUAUCAAAUCAGCAUAAUGCUUCUUUUUUCUUCUUGAAAUGAGUUAAGGGACGUCCAACAUAUUUCAGCGGGAGGGAGCCUCUCUAUUCAUCCCUGUAAUUUGUUCAACCUGAAUCACCAUAUUAGUAGGAGUAUUUUGAUGCAUAUAAAUAAAAAUCUUUCUCCUGUUCACCUUUUGGCCAGACUCAAUCUCAUAUUCCUACAAAAUCUUCAUUAUCUUAUCCAUAGAAUAAUCAUUAGAAGAAGCAAAUAUAAUAGUACAUCUGCAUGAGCAAGAAGGUUCAAAUUAGAGCUCUACUUAGGCAUACCAUACCCCACAUAAGAGAUGUCAUUAAAUAACUGAUUAAGAGAUUUUGUCAUCACUUCAGCAGAGAGAAUAAAGAGUGCAGGAGACAAAAGGGUCACCUUGUUUUGUUUCACUCCCCUAGUAGAGUCAAAAAAACCAACUGAUUUACCAUUUAAAAGAAUAGAGUAAUAGUUAUUAGAAAUCAGUCUCCAGAUCAAAUCUACCAUAUUAUUAGAAAAACCUGACUUCCUCAUCACUUUCAUCAAGAAAAAACAAGAUACCCUAUCAUAGGCUUUAGCCAUUAAUACUAAAUUAGAAGGUUUUCCUCUUUUUCCAAUACCAAUAAUCAGUUCUUAAGUAAGUAGAAUAUUUUUCAUAAUACUUCUUCCUUUAACAAAACCUGAUUGAUGAGGGGAGAUCAAUCUAGGCAAUAGAUUUUCCAACCCAUUAUGCACAAUCCGAGAAAGGGUUUUAUUCACAAAGUUACUCAGGCUAAUUAGCCUCAAAUCAGAAAAGGAUUGCACAUUGUCCUUUUUAGAAAUAAGAAUCAAAUUAGUAUGAGUAAUGAAUUUAGGGAGAGUAUUACCUACAAAGAAGUCCAAAACCAAUCUCCUUAUAUCCACCAAUAAUGUCCUAGCAAACCUAAUAAAAUCUGUCGGUUAAUCUGUCAGGUCCAUUACUGCUAUUCCUAUAUAAUUUAAACACAGUCUUCUUAAUUUCUUGCUCAGCUGGAAUAGCCUCAAGAACCCUAUUCUCAUCUUCUGUAAUUAAAUCAGGAAUAUGAUCCAGUAGAUGGAAAACUGUGGCAUAUCUUUCUUGUGUAAAUUGCUUUUGAUAAAAAGAUAGCCUCACUUGCAAUCUGAGCUUCAUCUUCUAACCAACAGCUGGAUUUAUUAAGGAUCCUAGAAAUUUUUACUCUGUUUCUCCUACCUUUGAUAAUGUUUUGAAAGAAUUUAGUAUUUCUAUCCACAUUCUCAAACCAAUCAUACCCAACCAUUUGUUGCCAGUAGCUUUUCUCCAGAUAAAGAAACCUGAUAUAUUCAGCCCUUACUUUCUGCAUAAUAGCUCUAUUUACUUGGAAAGUUGAUUCUUCAAAUAAUUUUUCCUUCACCUUAGCUAUAUCCUCCCCACUAAUCAACUAUUGAAAAAAAAUCCACAAAAGUCUAUCUGCUCCACUCAAAAAGUGCUCUUUUCACCUUUUUUUAUCUUAUUUUUGAAAUUAUGAAAUGGGUUAUCAGUGUAGUCUGCAUCUCAGUUCCUUCUGAAAACCUCUAUAAAUUCACCAUACUUGGUCUAGAAGUUUAAAAACUUAAAGGUCUAUUGAAGCUUAAUUUCAGAGUUCUCACAGCUUAGAACUAGAGGAGCAUGAUCAUAACCCUCUCUAGCCAAAUUCUCAACCUCCGCUGAGUUAAAAAUAUCUUGAAACCCAGCAUUACAAAACAUUCUAUCCAGUUUCUCAAAAAUGCACUCAUCCCCUACUCUCCCAUUCUACCAGGUAAAAGGACUACCCUUGUAGUAAAUUUGGGUAAGAUCAGCAGAUUCAGCACAGUAUCUGAAAUUCUCUAUUUUUUCAAUAGUGACAGGAAAACUUUAAUCUUAUCUGAGGCAUAAAAGACUGAGUUAAAUCCCCACUAAUGAGCCAAGGUUCAGAAUUCCUAUUGGUUAUAGAUAAGAUACUAUCCCGCAGGUCUAAUCUUUGAACUCUGUCAUAUUUUGCAUAGAUUAGGGUCACCAGAAAAGAGGAUCCAAGGUACUAAUCGUGUAGAUGUAGAGAGAGUAGUUGUUCCGUGUCUUUUUAUAUUGUCACAUUAAAGCCAGGAUUCACAAAACACCAAAUUUUACCAUUGUAAUUAUGAAACAUGAGUGGCAUAUGCAAUCUACCUCUAUAUUUGUUGAUAUUCCUAGACUACUGAAAUGGUUCCAAAAGGGCUAUAAAAUCAAACUUAUUUAACCUAUUCAAUAUCUGAACUAUGAAAAGUUUUUUGAGAUUUUACCGGCCUGAUAUUCCAAAUCAGUGUUUUCAUCAUUUCUAAGAAUAUUGACUUUCACCCCCUCUUAGGUUGAGACCUGCUAGGUAGAUUCUUUUCCCUAUUAAUUUUUUUCCCUUUCUUAGCUUGCUUCGUGGACUUGAUAGCUCUAGGUGACAAGUUAGCUUUCUUGAAUAUUUGCUCCUCUUUAUUUUGUUUGGAGGUAGUUUCCUCCACCCUUUCUAACAAUCCACCAACUUCUUCCACUGCAUCCACUUGAUGAGUAAUUAUAUCAUGGUAAUACUUUGUUGGGAGACUCUGAAUAAUCACUCCAUACUUGUUCAUCUACUGCAAUUGGAAUGUCAACUAUGUCAAGACUAUUAUUAUCAUGAUCUUGAUUAGAAAACUCUUCUCUUUGUACUGGAUUCUCAUUCUGAGUACCACUGAGUUUUGUUGGGGAACUAAUCUUUGCUUUUUUUAUUUUAUCAGUAGUGUGAUGUUGCUUAUCAUGGACUAAUUUCUCCCUCACAUUUUUUGUGCUAUUGUCUUUACUAUCAAGUAUAUUAUGCUUUUUUGCUUCAUUCAUUCUCUACUCAUGAGUUAAAUUCUUAACCUUCCGCUAUGCAGAUUCCUCGUGGCUAUUAGCAGGCACCUUAUUUUCAUUCUCCUGGCAAUGGAAGGACUUGGAAACCUAUUUUCUAGUCCUAUGAUGAAGAUUAAUGGAAAUCAAGUUGAAAGAAAAGGAAAGUAGGAAAAAAAGGACAAAUAUUGGAGAGCAGAAGGCCCUCAGUUACCGCAAUCUCAAUCCUCAAAGUUGCGAUCAUGGUCAGUUAUCCACGGAUCAAAAGACCCUCAGUUACCGCAAUCGUAAUUGAGCGGUUGAAUGUCCAAUGGCAGUUUUGUCAUUUCACACAGCUGAGCCCAAUUCUCGAAAGGGAGAAACCCUCACACAAUUGAGGCAUCUUCUAACCAAUUUUCCAGUUUGUAUUGAGAAAAACCCUACCAAAUUAGGAAGAACAAUUGUUGUUAAAUUUUUCCAAGAAGAUUUUAGUUAUAAUUUCAGAUUAAGCUUUAGGAUUCUUCUUGCUUUGUUAUCAAUGGAUGCAUUGGGUAAUAACUUGGGUAUAUCCCUUUUCUCAAAUCUCAUGAGUAGCUAAAUAUUUAUCUUAA